rnacentral:rRNA from 1 species
CUGAUGGAGCAACGCCGCGUGAGUGAAGAAGGUUUUCGGAUCGUAAAACUCUGUUGUAAGGGAAGAACAAGUAAAGUAGUAACUGGCGUACCUUGACGGUACCUUAUUAGAAAGCCACGGCUAACUACGUGCCAGCAGCCGCGGUAAUACGUAGGUGGCAAGCGUUGUCGGGAAUUAUUGGGCGUAAAGCGCGCGCAGGUGGUCCUUUAAGUCUGAUGA